AUUUCAUGAUAAGGACACUUAAUUAAUAAAUCAUUAAACCUCUCCCAACACUCGAAAAAGUGUUCACCUUCUUUUUCUUGGAAGUUGGUAAUCUCCCGUCGAAGAGC